CCCUUAGAUGUUCUGGGCUGCACGCGCGCUACACUGAUGCGCUCAACGAGUUUUAACCUUGCCUGGAAAGGUUGGGUAAUCUUUUUAAAACGCAUCGUGAUGGGGAUAGAUUAUUGCAAUUAUUAAUCUUCAACGAGGAAUUCCUAGUAAGCGCGAGUCAUCAGCUCGUGCUGAUUACGUCCCUGCCCUUUGUACACACCGCCCGUCGCACCUACCGAUUGAAUGGUCCGGUGAAAUCUCCGGACUGGCGUGAGUCGGAGCAAUCUGACAAACGCCGGAAAGUUGAUUAAACCUUACCAUUUAGAGGAAGGUGAAGUCGUAACA
rnacentral:rRNA from 1 species